UCAAUAUACUUAAAAUUGUUAAUCUUAUGGGUGUAAUUAAUAUUUUUAAAUUUGAUUUAAUUAAUUCUCAUACCGUUUUAAUGUUAAAUAAUAUUGAUAUUUCCAAUUUAUUGAACACAUUUAAUUAAAUCCAAAGAGCCCUUUCCACAUCCUUUCUGAGCAUGCGCAGAGAAUGAAAAAAAUCUUCGCGCAUACGCAUUGACCUUCUUCACCUACGCCACAGUGUGCUUUGGCCACGUGUCUGGAAAGAGGGAUUAAUCACGAUUCAUCCGUUGGAGUUAAGGUUGCUGGUUGUGGAAUUUGGAGCUGCGGAGAUUUGAGCUGUGCUCCAAAAGUGCAUGUUGAAGGUUAUCACCACAGUUCCACUGCUGUCCACAUUCAUGAGCAGUCUUGACCAGUACUCUGACCAGUUGAUGAAGAUUCUACGAAAAAAAGGAGGGGAAACAGCGCGGCGGAUCACAGCAGCGUUGUCUGCAAUUUCACAGGUAUUCUGUCUUUUUAAAAUGUUCUGUAACUAAUAGAUUAGUUGCAGGUUGAUCUCAGGUCUGGUUAUUAACCUGUAUUUUUAACUUUCUUGGGUCAUUUUAUGCUUGUUCUCUCCUGCGUUAUACUUCUCAUCUCGCUUUUGGCUUAUAUUCUGGACUUGGUCCUGACACAAAGCAGAACUAAGUAACUCAUGCCCCUAGAGGCCAUAAGUGCCGCUGCUGGCAUUGUAGCUUUUUUCUUUUCUUUUUUUUGUUACUCAUUAAUUGUCCAAAGGAAUAAUUAGCUACACUGAGAAAAGACAAAGGCAGACAACAUUUCACAUUUCGCCACAACUCAGUGACACAAUAGAUUAUUUUUUUUCACUCAAACUUGGUAUAAAUACUGCAAAUGUGGUGGUAGCCCGCAUACCUCAUAUUAACGUGACAGUGUGUAGUUUUUGUCAUUAAUUUUUGGAAAUCUCUAUCAAAAUGUUUUUGAUUCCUUUGAACAGCACUCCUAUGCAACAACACUUUUCGGGUGGUACACCACGCUAAAGCUGCAUUUUCCCGACCCAAUGUAUCGCAAUCAGUGUAAUUGGACUCAUAACUUAUAAUCUUUAUGGGAAUGAAUUGGUAAGCUUCUCAUUCUCUAACACAAAAUACUACUUGCUUGCAAAAAGCAUGUUUAAAAUUACUUAGAAACAAUUAUGAAUUGGUUAAACAACAAUAAAAAUUGACUUAAGUUCUGUGGGGGUCUCUAAAAACUUCAAAAAAGUAAUUGCCAUGCAUGUGUUGUUUUGUUUAGAGUUCCCGAAUCGAAGUGAAGCGUGAAUGCAUCCUUAAAGCUGUGAUUAUAUACCUGAAUGAGAACCCUGAAAAUCUCAUCAAAGAGUACAUGGUAAGUUUAUUUUUAAAGGGAUAUUCCACCCCUCAGUAAAAUUUUGACUGUCAUAAUUCCCAGAGUUUUGUAAGUUGAAAAAUGUAUUUUCUAAACAAGCCCAGGCAUUCUCCUGUUCUGGCAGCAAUCAGUUUUCUUUAAAUUAGCUUACAACAAUAAAGUGCAUGGGAAAUACUAGGAUUUUGUUUCCAUUCACUUACAUUGUUUUAUGCGAAACUAAAGAAAAUGACCCUGGUCAGCAGAAUAUUGAUAAUAUUAUUAAUGCAUACUCCUUCUGCCCUCUGUCCAUGUUUCAUGUAUCUUCUUCUUGGUCUUUAUUUGGUGAUAGUCUUAAAUCCACAUUUUUCUUUGGUCUGUUCUCCUCAGUCUCAUUCAGGGAUAUGUGUAAUUAGGGUAGUGUGGACCAUUUUAACUAAAAUGGAGUGAAUAGAUGAUGCAAUGACCAAAAUACAACGGAUUUAAAAUAUUUCUGUCCUUUUCAG